GCGAUUCUCACUAUCAGACACUCAAAGUCUAAGAGUCUUCUUCAUCCAGUGCACUGUGCACCGAUCCUCCCCCAAAUAAGAUUUGUAGGUUACUCUUCUAUGUCAAAACUCAGAAACUUCAACACACAAUGGAAUGCAGCAGCAACAAUAGGAAUUAUAAAGGUGUAGAUUUUAAGUCCUGUUUUCUCCAUAAUUUUUUGCUUCUUUAUAUAUACUUUUCAACUUUCUAAUUUGUCUUUAAUGCUUUAAUACUUUAUACAUACCAAUCAACAACAAUAAACAUGGUAAGAGAGCAACCACAACCAUCAACAAGAUCAAGGGCCGAAGGGGCCAACAAUCUUCAUGAACUUUAAGCUUUUCUUUUUGCUUUUGGAUUUGUUACUUAACUUAAUUUAUUUUUGUUGCAUGCAUGUGGAAUGUUGAAUUUAAAUAGUUUGAUGGUAGAAUAUAUUUGAAGAACAAUUCAUAAUUUCAUAUUUCAAUUAGGGCUAUAAAUCUAUGAUUGCA